AAACCAGGAUUAUAUGAAAUGCUGAAAGGUAUCCUUUAAGAAGAGGAAGAAUAAGAAAAAGACUGCUAUGGCUGCUUUUGUGCAAAAGACCCUAGGAACUACAAAUCCUAGAAUAUUUACUACAUAGUCCUAUGUAUGGCAGAAGUGUACCCACACCUAUCUUACAGCGAUGAGAACAACAGAAAUGACUGCACUCCUGGUGGAUGUACCAUAGAGCACAGGCUACAUCAGCAUGGACAACUGACUCACUCUGUGGGAAGCCUGCAUACCUCAGCCAGUUACUUUCCUAAGCACCUGGAAGCUUCAAACAAGCGAUGUAACAUGUCCUAUUGAUAACACGCCAGAGAUGAGAUUAAACAUUAGUCUUUGUCAUGGACAUUCAGCCAGAAGUCAAACAUUACCUUCCUCCUUUACUAUGGUGAAGUAAAAUAUUU